rnacentral:lncRNA from 1 species
GUGUUGCGAUCGAUCGGCAGUGGGAAUUCUUGUUCUUGUCUCUUCCGAAAUAUCGAUGCUUGAGGCACUUUUCAUGCGAUCGUCCAGAUGACGAGGAGCAUUCCAUCAAGAAGAUCAUCGGCGGCACUAGGGAGGAGCCAUCGCUCGAGCGUAGAAAUCUUUUUCUCCGCUCAAACCCUAAGACUCCAUUCUCCUCCUUGUCGUCCGCCGGUUAGAUCCUUAACGUUUUCUUGUUUCUUUGGAUGAUCAUCGGUCGAUUGCGCAGGCAUUGCAAGAUCUCCAAAGCUAUAACGACAAGGUACGAGUCUACUGGAUGUUCAUCAUCAUACCUUGGAAAUUUUCAGGUCCUCGUGCAAGUGGAUUCGGGAAUAGGAGCAAACAGAAGGCUUCGAUUCCAUCGGGCUCAAUCUUCUCUUGACAAGGUAGAUCCAUAGAUCCAAAUUUACUCCUUUUCAAGCUAGCCCGAUCUCUGCUACUCUAUCCAAUGCCGAGAUCCCGCAAGACUCUCAUCUGGUGACUGAGCUCCACGAGCACACUAAACAGCCAAGAACACUGUGCAAGCGCUAGUGGAUUCUCCAUUCAGCGGUUUUGUAAUGGGAGCCUGGGAGGGUUAUGGCAUGGUGACAACGAUUCCGUGCGUGGGGUCACACCUUUGAACGCUUGCGUGCUUUUUUCUCAUAGCGUGAAUGAUGCUGUGGAGAGAAUGUUUUGGAAUUUUGGCACUGCGUGAAAACGAGGCGUUCCAAGCGACGAGAUCCCGGGCGGGCAUAAAACUUAGUGUUCGUUGAGCAGAGUUGAUAUGCCGCGUGGGAGAAAUGGAGACGAGUGCUUGGAUGAUGCCGCAUGAGAUCAAUGCAAAGUAUGGAAUCCACUCUAUAGCAUUGCGCUGCUUCACUCUCACCCCAUUUCCCCUUGAAAAUAGCGACUUCCAAAG